UACGUAGGGUGCGAGCGUUGUCCGGAAUUAUUGGGCGUAAAGAGCUCGUAGGCGGUGUGUCACGUCGGCCGUGAAAACUCACAACUCAAUUGUGGGCGUGCGGGCGAUACGGGCAGACUGGAGUACUGCAGGGGAGACUGGAAUUCCUGGUGUAGCGGUGGAAUGCGCAGAUAUCAGGAGGAACACCGGUGGCGAAGGCGGGUCUCUGGGCAGUAACUGACGCUGAGGAGCGAAAGCGUGGGGAGCGAACAGG
rnacentral:rRNA from 1 species